GUUUGUUAAGUCAGAUGUGAAAGCCCGGGGCUCAACCUCGGAACUGCAUUUGAAACUGGCAAACUAGAGUACUGUAGAGGGGGGUAGAAUUUCAGGUGUAGCGGUGAAAUGCGUAGAGAUCUGAAGGAAUACCAGUGGCGAAGGCGGCCCCCUGGACAGAUACUGACACUCAGAUGCGAAAGCGUGGGGAGCAAACAGGAUUAGAUACCCUGGUAGUCCACGCCGUAAACGAUGUCUACUUGGAGGUUGUGGCCUUGAGCCGUGGCUUUCGGAGCUAACGCGUUAAGUAGACCGCCUGGGGAGUACGGUCGCAAGAUUAAAACUCAAAUGAAUUGACGGGGGCCCGCACAAGCGGUGGAGCAUGUGGUUUAAUUCGAUGCAACGCGAAGAACCUUACCUACUCUUGACAUCCAGAGAACUUUCCAGAGAUGGAUUGGUGCCUUCGGGAACUCUGAGACAGGUGCUGCAUGGCUGUCGUCAGCUCGUGUUGUGAAAUGUUGGGUUAAGUCCCGCAACGAGCGCAACCCUUAUCCUUGUUUGCCAGCGAGUAAUGUCGGGAACUCCAGGGAGACUGCCGGUGAUAAACCGGAGGAAGGUGGGGACGACGUCAAGUCAUCAUGGCCCUUACGAGUAGGGCUACACACGUGCUACAAUGGCGCAUACAGAGGGCAGCCAACUCGCGAGAGUGAGCGAAUCCCAAAAAGUGCGUCGUAGUCCGGAUUGGAGUCUGCAACUCGACUCCAUGAAGUCGGAAUCGCUAGUAAUCGUAGAUCAGAAUGCUACGGUGAAUACGUUCCCGGGCCUUGUACACACCGCCCGUCACACCAUGGGAGUGGGCUGCAAAAGAAGUGGGUAGUUUAACCUUC
rnacentral:rRNA from 1 species